GAUUGUUUGAGUGGAUUUACCCAAAUCCUGCUUUGGGCAUCUGAGGACGUGAAAGUGAAAGCUUGAUAAGAAGAGGGAAGUAAUAAAACUUGAUUGUCUUAAGGGAACAUUUGGUUAGAUCACUGUUUGACUUUUUAGCAGCUUUAGAGCUUAUGAGUUUGAAUCCAAAAAUAAUCUCUCUAUUUGUUCUGCUUGUGAGAAUUUAUUCUUCUGCAUUGUCAAAUUUAGAAAAAUUAGGUUUUUGUUCCAAUUGUUGUAAGGAUAUCAGUACACUACCCUGCGAAUUGAAAUAUUAAUCUAGAAAUUUUUAGUUCCCUUUUCUUUGUUUCUGUCCUUUUAAUUACUGCAUAAACCAGUUCUGCAUGAUACUUUUUUUCAUACAAAUUGGAGGGAGCAGUUGCAGGGCAUGAACACUCCCAUUUGUGCAAAUUUUCCAUAAUUAAAAGAAAAAUUUCAACUAAUCUCAUUGAGACAUAAUGAAGAUUUGUGGUUGCUUUUCCGGCUCUUUUGAGAGAAUUUGUUAGAUAUCUGCAGUGAUUUUUUUAUUUUUAUUUUCAGUUUGUACAUUAUAAAGGUCACAAAUAGUUGGAAAUUUGAGGCAGAGAAUCUUGAUUUUUGUUGCAUAUAUCUCCUGUGUCUAAAAUAUAACUUAGCGUGCCAUUGUAUUUUAUCCACCGAUGAUGAUUCAAGUGUACAGGUUGCUUACAUGACUAUGCAUUUCAUGAACAUUUUUUUCUUUUUCUUCUGGAUGGGUAAAUUUAUAAAAUAUUUAGUUCUAAAGUUCGAAAAUGGUGGGCAGAAAUGGCUUUGGGUGGAGGUGGUCCACAGAGAGGAACUGCUGCAGCAGCAGCUGCUAACAUGCGUCGGAGGAGAACAACUGGUGGUGGAGCCACUGGUGGGGCUAGUGGAACCAUGCUCCAGUUCUACACUGAUGAUGCUCCUGGACUCAAGAUUUCUCCCAAUGUUGUGCUUGUUAUGAGCAUUGGAUUCAUAGCUUUUGUUGCUAUUCUCCAUGUCAUGGGUAAGCUCUACUUUGUUCGUAGAGAGGCUUAAGAUAAGAGGUUGAAUGGUUGAUGGCUAAUAAAAAUAUGAAUUGCUUCCUCAAAAUGCUUUUGGUGCGAUUUUUUUUUUUUUUUUUUUUAAAUAGAUUUUUCGAAUGGUCGUGAUGAAUAGAUACCUAGGAUUUGAGUAAUUUAAUGGAAAAUUGUGUAUUUUGGCAGUGUUUAUUCUCAAGUAUCUUGAAUUGUUUACUGAAUCUGGA
rnacentral:lncRNA from 1 species